CCUACGGGAGGCAGCAGUAGGGAAUAUUGCUCAAUGGGGGAAACCCUGAAGCAGCAACGCCGCGUGGAGGAUGAAGGUUUUCGGAUUGUAAACUCCUUUUGUUAGAGAAGAUAAUGACGGUAUCUAACGAAUAAGCACCGGCUAACUCCGUGCCAGCAGCCGCGGUAAUACGGAGGGUGCAAGCGUUACUCGGAAUCACUGGGCGUAAAGAGCGCGUAGGCGGGAUAGCAAGUCAGAUGUGAAAUCCUAUGGCUUAACCAUAGAACUGCAUUUGAAACUGGUAUUCUAGAGUAUGGGAGAGGUAGGUGGAAUUCUUGGUGUAGGGGUAAAAUCCGUAGAGAUCAAGAGGAAUACUCAUUGCGAAGGCGACCUACUAGAACAUAACUGACGCUGAUGCGCGAAAGCGUGGGGAGCAAACAGGAUUAGAUACCCCUGUAGUC
rnacentral:rRNA from 1 species